GACGAAAGUUACGCUAAUACCGCAUACGCUCGAGAGAGGAAGUGGGGGAUCGCAAGACCUCACGUUAUAGGAGCGGCCGAUGUCCGAUUAGCUAGUUGGUGGGGUAAAGGCCUACCAAGGCGACGAUCGGUAGCUGGUCUGAGAGGAUGAUCAGCCACACUGGGACUGAGACACGGCCCAGACUCCUACGGGAGGCAGCAGUGGGGAAUUUUGGACAAUGGGCGAAAGCCUGAUCCAGCCAUGCCGCGUGCGGGAAGAAGGCCUUCGGGUUGUAAACCGCUUUAGUCCGGGAAAAAGGGGUGCGAGGAUAAUACCCUCGUGCUUUGAUGGUACUGGAAGAAUAAGCACCGGCUAACUACGUGCCAGCAGCCGCGGUAAUACGUAGGGUGCGAGCGUUAAUCGGAAGUUACUGGGC
rnacentral:rRNA from 1 species